UUUCCGUAGGUGAACCUGCGGAAGGAUCAUUAAAGAGAAUAUGCCCUUCGGGGUAGAUCUCCACCCUUUGUUUAUAUUACCUUUGUUGCUUUGGCAGGCCCGUCUUCGGACCACCGGCCUCGGCUGGUCAGUGCUUGCCAGAGGACCCAAAACUCUUAUUAUUAAUGUCGUCUGAGUACUAUAUAAUAGUUAAAACUUUCAACAACGGAUCUCUUGGUUCUGACAUCGAUGAAGAACGCAGC
rnacentral:misc_RNA from 1 species